GUCAAAUCAUAAGUGAUUUAUAAUAUGAUAUUUUUAUGAUUAUGGGUUUGAAAAAGCAAAUAUUUAAGCAUCUAUACAUGCUGCUUUGCAAAAUCUAUUGUACAUCUAUAUCCUGAACAAGCAGGUGAUAUCGCUUAUCAAUGCAAACUGUUGUGGAUUAAUUUCACCUCUGAUAGAUAUCCACUGUAUAUUUUGGAGCAAAGGUACAUUUCAGCAUGCUCCUGGCACAAAGGUUGAACUGUGAAAAAUGAUGGGAGAUACUUACUCUCCUGGUUUAUGGGUUCAAGCUCAAAUGAAGAAGUGAGCAAAGUGAUUGCAGAUUUUAUGAAUAACUGCACACAACUGUCUAUUCCAAACAGCUUGGAAUAGCAGGGCUUUUAACAGCAAUGCAAAGGCUAAAUUACAUAGCUCAUGGCUUACAUGCAAGCUAUGGUAAAAAGAGCUCAAAGGAAUUCAUGAGCCCCAAGGUUCAAAAAACUGAAGGUAUAUAUGUUCUGUCACUUUCUAACUUUCUAAGACCCAAUGAGGCUUUCAUUUGGGGUCGAGGUCUUGUUUAUAUGUUCACAGAUAAUGAAAACAUCUGGUCACCCACGUCAUGCUUCAUGCCAGCUGAUACAGACCAGGAAGAGAAGCAGACGGAAGGUGAUGGCAUCAGCUAUCUACAUGCCAGCCACAAUCCAGGCACGCUGGAGGGACACUUCUUUGGUGACUAAUAUCACUCCAGAACAAUGACAUUACACUAUUAGAGACAUUUGCUAUUAGGCCACUGACAGACACUUGUCAUGCUGACAUCCAUUGAGAUGGGGUACCCAGAGCAACAUCAAGUAUGCUAACUCAGAAGGACUAAAUCACACUUGUGUCUGUACAAGACACCAGAUACAUCCCACAUUCCAAAGACUUUGCUAUGGGAUUGAGAUGAAUUAGCUACAAAUUGUCUAGCUGCUAAUGUAUACCCUGUAUUUUGUAUAUGAUACUGUCAAAAGAAAUGUAUAUUGUAUGCAUUGUAAAUCCACCACUUGUAUUGUAAGAAAUGCUGUUAUCAACAAGGGUAUAGACCUUGGUAUGAUUCUCCAAAGAAGUAGGAGAUAGAAGACUUUCAUUCAUAGCAUAGAUCUGAUACCUCUGACAUCAAAAAUGAGGUGCUAAGCAGAAAAUGAUGCACAGACAGGUUUAAUGGACAGAUGACACUGAUGUUACUCUCAAGAAAGGAUGAGAGAUCAGGGAAAAGACACUAGGAAAUCUUUAAUCAGGAACCUGAGUUAUUGUAAGAGAUCAUUGACAUCCAGGCAAAGAUUAUGUUCCUGACAUUACAUUAAGGGCUGACUACCAUAGCAGUAGUUGAGUGUUAAUACCAUUGUUAACCAUUACUCCUGAUACCCUGUCUUUGUGGGUAAUAUCUUAAUAGGAAAAAUGUCUUGCUCUCCUCCAACAGUCCCAGAAUUCAGACGGCCGCUGGAUUCAGGAUCUAUUGGCUUCCCUUUCAUAUACUGGAAGACGUUCUGGUAUAUGGAAGUAAGACCUCAUGAAAAACUGAGGGCUCUAGGUUUGACAAUUUCUGUGGACGCGCAGUCAUUGUCUCUCCUAGGUGGAAAAAAUUAUUAUUGCACAAAAACAUGGAGCAAGGGCAAAGUAUAAUCUAAGUUUUACUGUUUUGGAGUAUGGAUUAAAAACAUGACACAAUAGGCACAGAUAAGCUUGCAGAAAAAGCACAUUGAAUAUUAUUCACUGACAAUUAGGAAUGAAAAAGCUAUGUCAAAUGCUGUAGGUACAAGAAACUGUAGAAAUUGUUUCUACAGGGGAAACAACUUAAGCUUCUAUUUACCCAAACAUUGGUUUGGUGGAAUGAAUUUUGCAAAUAUUGGUAAUGGUAUAGGCUUGGUUACCAUAUUGAUGGGUUUAUUUAUAUAAGCAGAGAUUUAAAAUAAGGAAGACAUUAGGAAUAUGCAGUCAGAACUUGAAAUAUUACUUCAUUAUCACCAUCAUGGUUAUUUAAGCUACAAUUGAGAAUGUAAAAUAGAUGGGAAUAUUGGUAUUUGUUAAAAAAUUGCACUGUGAUUGAUGUAUUGAUGUUUUUGCACAGCCUGUAAUGGUGCAAAAUUAUGUUCAUAUACAAGGCGAAUUUUGAUCUAUUUAGAUCAGGAAUUAGAAAUCAUUGGGAAAAUAAGUUCUGAUAUUUUACAUUGGCUCAGUUUCAAAGAUACCACAUAGACAGUGAGCCAAGAGAAUCUUGUAUUAAUUUUGGGAUCAGGUUCCCAGGAUCAAUUUUCUGAGAUCAUUUGACAUGUGAUAACAUGAUCCUCCAGAAUUGUUAAGAGAGGAUGUUUUUCUUUGAAGGGAUCUCUCCCAACACACAAACAAAAAGAAAAGGGAGAGGAAUCUUAUAGAGAUCAAUAUUUAUAUUUUUAGAGGAAACUUUUAAAGUCACUCUUGAUUGAUCAACCUUGAUUUUUUUCUUUUACACUAUUAAGGCCAGAAUUUUUGAGUAUAAAGAAAGUACUGUUAAUGCUCUGAUCCAGAAUUAUGAAGGUGCAAAGAUUUCUAGAAUUACAGUCACCUAACAGUCGGUGAACAUGAGAACAUGACAGCAAUUGUUAAUUUUCAGAUGACCAUACUGGAGAGUGAUGUCUGAUUGCAUGUAAGGGGAAUCAUAAUGAAUCUUUCAUUAUGGACCAGACAGCCUCAGCCACGGUUACAUUUUCCAUGUGAAAUGGAUGUUUGAGGUUGGGAAAUGCAGAGACAUGGCAUACUGACACCCUUAGUCGCUGGAUGUCCUGGCAUCGAGCUACCAACCAGUUUCCUAUGUGGCAGGCAUCUGGCAGUGAGCACGGAAAGAUCCCCAAGAUGCAGUAUCAGGACGAGAGAAAGGAAGGACUUAUCCUUCUUCUCCAGGGAUAGUAUUUUGCUAACUGUUGAAAAGGCUGACAACUUCUGAUAGUCCAGACUGUGAAUGGUGGCAUGUUUGGUUAUUGCACCUGUCAUGUGAAUCAUAGAGUUCUACCUCAUUAGACCAGGAUCAGUAGCGUGGAAAUUAUUUUCUUAACAUUUUUAUAUCUACUAAGACUGUUGCAUUGAUCUUGAAAUGCAGACAGACAGAUAGAAAGAUCAGUUUGGGAAUUUUUAAGAUUGAUCACUGAAUCAGUUUAUGCUGAUGUUCAUUCUUGAUUGGGAUAUCUAAGUUAUACAAUCAGGAUAGGUUUUUCAUCUCUGUAUCAGAAUAUGAUUAUGCACCAGAGUGUUUGUAUUUGUUAAUGCUGUAAUGUUGCUACAUUUUGAUAUUACACUAUUCAUUUGUGUGUAAAACAAAAAGGGGGAGAUGUAGCAGCCCAGGGGCAAGGGGAACAGUCAGUCUUGGGCAUGCUCAGUAGUGCUCAUGGCUGGGAAGGCCCCUGACCCUUGACCCCAGCUUCUCCCAGGUUAGGCGGGAAAACAGGUUUCUUUGUUCUCCCCUGGUCAAGAGAAACCACACCUAUGCCUUGUCAUUGACCAAUGAGGGUCAUCCCUAUGUACUACGUAGCAAAUGGUAUUUAUGGCCCAGCAAGCUCCGCCUCGCUCUCUCUCCCCCUCUCUCCUCUUUCAGGCUAGGCGAUGGCUGUCCUUGCAGGAGCUUGGCCUCUGGCCAAGCUCCAUCUUUAAUCUCUCUCUCUCCCCCUUUCCUUUAUAUAUACCAUGCUUUUGCCUCAAUAAACGACUCCUCUUUGCACA
rnacentral:lncRNA from 1 species